AUUCAGGGUCAGCAACCCAACAACGGGUUGUCCGAUUCAUCUAAAAAUUUCAGAGCAGAUAAAUGUUGACCUGAUCAACAAUUUUACCCCAUGUCAGAUUUGCUCGAAAUGCUUUGGGUUUUGAGUUAUAAGCCAAAAACUGCAUUUUACCCCAUGUUCUAUUUUUAGCCAUGGCGGCCAUCUUGAUUUGAUGGCCGGGUCACCGGACACAUUUUUCAAAAUACUAACCCAAAAGAUGAUUGUGGCCAAGUUUGGAUUAAUUUGGCCCAGUAGUUUCAGAGGAGAAGAUUUUUGUAAAAGAUUACUAAGAUUUACGAAAAAUGGUUAAAAAUUGACUAUAAAGGGCAAUAACUCCUAAAGGGGUCAACUGACCAUUUCAGUCAUGCUGACUUAUUUGUAAAUCUUACUUUGCUGAACAUUAUUGCUGUUUACUGUUUAUCUCUAUCUAUAAUAAUAUUCAAGAUAAUAACCAAAAACAGCAAAAUUUCCUUAAAAUUACUAAUUCAGGGGCAGCAACCCAACAACGGGUUAUCCGAUUCAUCUGAAAAUUUUAGGGCAGAUAGAUCUUCACCUGAUCAACAAUUCUACCCCAUGUCAGAUUUGCUCUAAAUGCUUUGGUUUUUGAGUUAUAAGCCAAAAACUGCCUUUUACCCCUAUGUUCUAUUUUUAGCCGUGGCGGCCAUCUUGGAUGGUUGGCCGGGUCACCGGACACAUUUUUUAAACUAGAUACCCCAAAGAUGAUUGUGGCCAAGUUUGGAUUAAUUUAGCCCAGUAGUUUCAGAGGAGAAGAUUUUUGUAAAAGAUUACUAAGAUUUACGAAAAAUGGUUAAAAAUUGACUAUAAAGGGCAAUAACUCCUUAAGGGGUCAACUGACCAUUUCGGUCAUGUUGACUUAUUUGUAAAUCUUACUUUUCUGAACAUUAUUGCUGUUUACAGUUUAUCUCUAUCUAUAAUAAUAUUCAAGAUAAUAACCAAAAACAGCAAAAUUUCCAUAAAAUUACCAAUUCAGGGGCAGCAACCCAUCAACGGGUUGUCCGAUUCAUCUGAAAAUUUCUGGGCAGAUAGAUCUUGACCUGAUAAACAAUUUUACCUCGUGUCAGAUU
rnacentral:lncRNA from 1 species